rnacentral:rRNA from 1 species
GAGGAAUAUUGGACAGUGGAGGCAACUCUGAUCCAGCCAUGCCGCGUGCAGGAAGACUGCCCUAUGGGUUGUAAACUGCUUUUAUACGGGAAGAAACACCGCUACG